UUCAAAAUUACCUACUGUUCCAAAGAGGGAAAAUAAAGCAGGACAAGCCUGGUUUCCUAAACAGGGGGGAGAGACAGACAUCCUGACUGCCAAUUCAUUCCAGCGUUCAAAUAAUCCCUGAAUUUGUCUGGCAAAAAGAAAACCAGCAAUUACCCAAGACAAGAAAAGAGGCAUGUUCCAAACGGAGUGGUUACAACUGAAUCUUGACUGUUAAUCUCUUAUGUCUCAAUGGAAGCCAGAAUUCUGUGAACAUCAAGACUCUGCUUACCCAAGAAUUCCUGGGAAGAAGAACAAGCCAGAGAAGACUGGGAGGCAUUUCAAAAGCAGACUCAGGUUUGGUUCUCUCCUUUUGUUUAUGCAUUUUGCUUUAUAAAAAUUAAAAAGAUAAAGAGAAGGCAGCCCCUGUGUUCCACUAAAACUGGCUGUUAGGGGACUCUGGAGGCAGAUUAGCAAUUGUGUGUUAUGAUGAUAGCAUCUAGUUAAGCCAGCAAAAUGGCUCUUCCGACACCAUCCGUGGAACUGGUGGGUGGGAACUUGUACAACUUCUGAGAAAGCCAAGAAUUUGUUCUGAACAGCAGAGAUAAGCUCCUUACUCAGGAGUUUCUGCCUGAAGAGAGCACACCAGGCACCACAAAAAUGAGUGUCUGGAUCAGGGAAAGAUGGAGCGGGGACCCCUGGAAAGAGCCUAUGGUUUGGGAGCAGAAAAUCGACAUUUGCGAGAAGUCCUUCCAGACACUUUCAAGCUGGUGACCUUGUGAAGGUCACUCUAACCCUCAGUCCCUGCAUCUGUACAAUAAAGAUAGUACCACACCUACCCCA
rnacentral:lncRNA from 1 species